rnacentral:rRNA from 1 species
CAUUUGGGCUGCUAUAAUGCAAGUCGAGCGAACAGAAGGGAGCUUGCUCCCGGAUGUUAGCGGCGGACGGGUGAGUAACACGUGGGUAACCUGCCUGUAAGACUGGGAUAACUCCGGGAAACCGGAGCUAAUACCGGAUAGUUCCUUGAACCGCAUGGUUCAAGGAUGAAAGACGGUUUCGGCUGUCACUUACAGAUGGACCCGCGGCGCAUUAGCUAGUUGGUGGGGUAAUGGCUCACCAAGGCGACGAUGCGUAGCCGACCUGAGAGGGUGAUCGGCCACACUGGGACUGAGACACGGCCCAGACUCCUACGGGAGGCAGCAGUAGGGAAUCUUCCGCAAUGGACGAAAGUCUGACGGAGCAACGCCGCGUGAGUGAUGAAGGUUUUCGGAUCGUAAAGCUCUGUUGUUAGGGAAGAACAAGUGCGAGAGUAACUGCUCGCACCUUGACGGUACCUAACCAGAAAGCCACGGCUAACUACGUGCCAGCAGCCGCGGUAAUACGUAGGUGGCAAGCGUUGUCCGGAAUUAUUGGGCGUAAAGGGCUCGCAGGCGGUUUCUUAAGUCUGAUGUGAAAGCCCCCGGCUCAACCGGGGAGGG